GAAGCUUCGACUAAGGUUCGACUCGAGCGAAGCGAGAGAACGUUGCCGCAGGCAAUGGCCCGAAGGCGAGGCGCUUUAGCGCCGAGUAAUCCUUCCCCCACCACUG
rnacentral:sRNA from 1 species